rnacentral:lncRNA from 1 species
UCCCCCUUCUCAGUGGGAUGUUAGUAUUGCAGAGAUGCUUUCUCUCACAGGCAGCAGCUGUUUGCACAGCACAUCAGGUGAGCUUCUGUCACCUUAUUUUGAAUAGCGUUGCUGAAGGACCGUUUAUUUCUGGAGAAAACAUGGACACUUCCAGUGACCUGAUGCUGGCUCAGAUGCUACAGAUGGAAUUUGACAGAGAAUACGAUGCACAGCUUAGGCGUGAAGAAAAGAAGUUCAACGGUGACAGCAAAGGUACCAGACCUCUGUCACUCUGACAUUGCCACUGGGUGGUAGGAAAUGCCUGUAUACAUUCCUGAAUAAACAGCACCCGUUUUUACCUUU